GGGUUUAUCACAAACAUCACUGUGCAAAUACAAUGUGAUUGCAAUCUCAAAUUCUCCCCACCAAACUUCAGAUAACUCAAAAGGUAGGGACUCAACCCUUGUUGGAUUAUUGGAACUGGAAUGCAACCGAAAAACAGUUUGCUUUAUCACCACACCAAAUCCUCGUUUGUGGUCCCAAGUACAUACACAAUCCAUUUAUGUGACUGAUUC
rnacentral:misc_RNA from 1 species